ensembl:lncRNA
CAAUGUACUUCUUGUUUCAGUGUGAGCAGUUUGCAAGGGGAAGUAAGGCCUCUUAGCUAAACACAAUGAGAUCCCUCUGAUGACCUUUCAAGUGUUGCAGAGGAAUGUAAGCAGAUCAGGCAGGCAGAGUUUGAACCAUGACAUGGUGGAGGGCAGCGCUGCCGUCAGACUGAACUCAAUGCUGGGCAGUAAUGGUGGCUCUUAGUCAAACCUGAAGUCCUGGGGUACCACAGCGCUCCCUGUGCAGCACCGUUGUUCCCUCACUCACACACACACACUCAAACUUCUGCCCCUCCCCAGAUGGUGUGUGUUACCUGUGGUCCCGGGCUCACCUGUAACAGAGUCGGCUUGGCUCCAGGUGAGGGCUGUGGUAACGUUGUCCAUUGUGUGUGUGAACAAGCAAAAGGCUGCAGGGAUUGAAUAGCAAACAUGCAGGUGAUGCCAUAGUCUCCUUGAACCCAAAGUGUGUGACACUAGCAAGGAGGUGAAAACACACACAUACACGUGUACACACACACACACAGCUUGACAAGGGCAUUUACCUUAAUUCACUCAGCCAAUUAAGAACAAUAUCACUAUCUUUCAACUGAAGUUUGUAAACAGCUACACUGCUAUCUCUUUAAUUUGUAACAGCAUGCAUAGCCAUUUUUAACUUGAAUGUACUUUCAGUCCCAGACGCUUCCAGUUAUUUUAGCUUUACAAAACAACCCGUUAUGUUGUUUUAUUGAUUGCAAACUAGUAUUUGGUAUAUAUCAUAUUACUUUAAUUCAUU